AAUGUUGCCUCGGCGGAUCAGCCCGCGCCCCGUAAAACGGGACGGCCCGCCAGAGGACCCAAACUCUAAUGUUUCUUAUUGUAACUUCUGAGUAAAACAAACAAAUAAAUCAAAACUUUCAACAACGGAUCUCUUGGUUCUGGCAUCGAUGAAGAACGCAGCAAAAUGCGAUAAGUAAUGUGAAUUGCAGAAUUCAGUGAAUCAUCGAAUCUUUGAACGCACAUUGCGCCCGCUGGUAUUCCGGCGGGCAUGCCUGUUCGAGCGUCAUUUCAACCCUCAAGCCCCCGGGUUUGGUGUUGGGGAUCGGCUCUGCCUUCUGGCGGUGCCGCCCCCGAAAUACAUUGGCGGUCUCGCUGCAGCCUCCAUUGCGUAGUAGCUAACACCUCGCAACUGGAACGCGGCGCGGCCAUGCCGUAAAACCCCAACUUCUGAAUGUUGACCUCGGAUCAGGUAGGAAUACCCGCUGAACUUAAGCAUAUCAAUAA
rnacentral:rRNA from 1 species